UACGGAGGAGGCAAGCGUUAUCCGGAAUUAUUGGGCGUAAAGCGUCCGUAGGUGGUUCACCAAGUCUGCUGUCAAAGGGUGGGGCUUAACCUCAUAAAGGCAGUGGAAACUGGUGAGCUAGAGUGCGGUAGGGGUAAGGGGAAUUCCCAGUGUAGCGGUGAAAUGCGUAGAGAUUGAGAAGAACAUCGGUGGCGAAAGCGCCUUACUGGGCCUGCACUGACACUGAGGGACGAAAGAUAGGGGAGCGAAAGGG
rnacentral:rRNA from 1 species